rnacentral:rRNA from 1 species
GGAUGCGAUCAUACCAGCACUAACGCACCGCA